AUGAUUGAAGAAAAAUUGCUUAAGAUUGAUGAUUUGGCUAGGAACGUUGAUAGAAUUUCUCUUGAUGUUGAUUCUUUAAAGCUUAGAUCUAUUCCUCCUAAGCAUGAUAUCAAUGAGUCUCUCAAAGCCAUGAGAAUUUACAUUGAUGAGUGCAAGGAAAGAACCCCUAGGACCCAUGCUAUGAAAGAUGCCUUUAUUAAAGUGUGUUCUUCUAGUUCCUAUGAAAAUAAUGAUGAAGAUCUAAAAGUUAUUGAUGUGUCUCCUAUUAAAUAUUUGUUUUGCAAUACUAAUCUUGAUAAUAAUGGGACUUAA
rnacentral:rRNA from 1 species